UCCCACGUCCAUCCACAAAACUAGGGCAGAUGAUUUAUCAAGUGAACAAUUUUCUCUUCCAAAAAUAACUGUAAAUUGGGUAGUUUACGGCAGUUGCUAAAAUUGUUCCUAAUUUCCAGGCUUUUAGCUAAAAAAUAGCAUCCACUCUCUCCUAAUUUGCGGUGGUUUACGGUGGUUUCCUGAUCGUGGAGACUUUCUCCGUCUUUCUCUGCUACUGCAAUCGUAUACUAUCUCCUUUAUAUUCCACAAAAAUUUCAGUAUUUCUAUGACACAGACAUUGAUCGUCCAACUAAUAGUCGUUCUGAAUAGUACGAACGACCUAAUCCUUCUUCUUCGGGGCCACCUUCAGAGUGAUAACAAGCGUCGUGGUACAAGCCCUAGCCCUCCUCUACCUCCGUAUCUUGACCGUCAUGGUGGACACUCUUCAUCUCCUCAAAAAUCAUCUCCAUUUACUCCGUUUAAGCGGUUCUGCACAGACAAUCGCGGCUACGAUGGUCGUGGCAGGCCUUGCUAAGGUUUCGGAUCUGGUGAUAAAAGAAACAUUGAUGUAUUUAUAAUGGAAAGAAUUGAUGGAGAACAAAGAUUAUAGAAGAACUGAAAUGAAGAUGACGAUUUUGAAUUCAAAGCUUGAAGCAUGUCUUUUGCUCAGUUUCUGUAUCUUUAUCAAUCCUCGACCGUCCAUUUCAAUUUGAUUGUAUAUCAAGAUAAUAAAUGACUUUUGAAUUUUAUGUGUACCAAAUGUGUUUGAUGAAAUGCCGUGAGAUUUAUUAUGACCAAUAGUUUUAAGUUACAUUAGUGGCUCAUUUUUUUUUCUGUUUUGUCUUAAAAGCUCCUGACCAGCAAUUUUUAAAUUUCAGUUGGAGAAAAGUGUCACCUUCCAAACGUCUCAGUCAGGGGCGGUUUAGCAUGGGAGUCAUUCAGGUGCACUGUAUCUUUCCUAUUUGCCUUUGAUGCAAGUUUUAGGCUGUGAGUUGUUUAAUUUUAAUGAUACGUUCUCUUAUGACAUGAAUUUGGGUUGUUUUAGUAUCUAUUGUUGAGAAAUGUGAAUUUUAGUUUAAUCUCUGGUGAGUGAAGAGAAAGUAUCAUGUAUGUGAGAUGAGUUUGAUUAUUUGAAUGAUGAUCUGGCGUAUUGCUUUAUAUUGUUUUUGAGUUAAUGUGGUGUCUUUAUUAUUACAGAUUCAUAAGAGUAAAAAGGAAAAGGAGGUCUAUGAUGAAAUGAUAUACAAGAGUAGAUAUUUCAAGGUUCUUAUCAGUGAUCAUUGUUGAUAUAUUAGUAGGCAUGGAAGCUAGGCACAAGGAAGAAAAUGAUCACUAACUGAUCAAAAAAUUGGAUGAACAGUUCAUAGAAAAGAAGUAGAACCUGAUCAGGAAAAAGGUGAUGCUUGUGACAUGUGUGCUCGCCCAUCAAAUAGACCAGAAACACAUGAAGAACUUGCAUAAGACGACAAAGAGCGAUUAGAACAUUUGGAGGCAAAGACGUUAAUGGCAUUUCUACAACUAACUUGGGUAGAUUCAUCUUGGUUAGAAAGAAUGGUAUGUGAUAUCAUCCACUGGUCAGCCAUGGGAACUAUCUUCAUUAGUUUCUCUUGACACAACUGAAAGAAUGUCACCAUCUUAUAGGACAUAUGAAAGAGAAACUCAUUGAUGCGGUUCAUAUUGGUGACAUGAAAAUCCAGACAAGAGACGGGUCAAAUGGUUGGUAAUUGCAAAAGUUAUCAAAACUCUUUGUUGGGUUAAUCGGUUUGUUCGCGGGUCACAGGUUAGCAGGUUAGCAGUGAGCUUUAACAGGUCAGUAGACCUAGUCUUGGUCUCGGUUUGACCUGGUUCUGGGGGGAUAUGGACCAAGUUUUUACAUUUGAUGUUUAUGUGUUUAUUACAAAUAGGAUAGCAGUGGUUUUUCUAUGGUACACUUUAACUCUGGCUGUAUUUGUUUCAAGCAAUAAAGGAGUAAUAAAUUCAUUUUCAUUCU